GUGUCAGCCGCCGCGGUAAUACGGAGGGUGCAAGCGUUGUUCGGAAUUAUUGGGCGUAAAGCGCGCGCAGGCGGCUUUUCAAGUCCACGGGUGAAAUGCCGGGGCUCAACCCCGAGCACGCCCAGGAUACUGGGAGGCUGGAGACACGUAGAGGCAAGCGGAAUUCCGGGUGUAGCGGUGGAAUGCGUAGAGAUCCGGAAGAACACCGGAGGCGAAGGCGGCUUGCUGGGCGUGAUCUGACGCUGAGGCGCGAAAGCGUGGGGAGCGAACAGGAUUAGAUACCCUCGUAGUCC
rnacentral:rRNA from 1 species